GGCAACGUGGCUGAGUGGUUAAAGCGUAUGACUAGAAACUAUAGAGAAUAUCCCUUCGGGGUCACAGGUUCGAGUCCUGUCGUUGUCG